GUUAUGUUUUUAGGCGACGACAAGGCCGCUUUGCAUUCGUUCGUUAACUGGAGUUUAGAAGCGGCUCCAGGCACCCCCCAAAGGGGCACCCAAAGCCGUAAACGUGCACAGUGGUUUGCAAGGGUUGGGCGGGAGCGAUGGCCCGCUUCACGGCUUUGCGGCCGGAGCAGGGCGACACAGCACCCGCCAGAGAUACGUUAAUGAUCCUUCCGCAGGUUCACCUACGGAAA
rnacentral:misc_RNA from 1 species